rnacentral:rRNA from 1 species
AAUGAACGUUGGCGGCAUGGAUUAGGCAUGCAAGUCGAGCGCGAUGUGUAGCAAUACACGGAAAGCGGCGGAAGGGAGAGUAAUACGUUGGAAUCUGCCCUUAGACCUGGGAUAGCAGCGGGAAACUGCUGGUAAUACCAGAUAACGUCUAUGGACCAAAGGUGUGAUUCCGUCUAGGGAUGAGCCCACGUCCUAUUAGCUAGUUGGUAGGGUAAUGUCCUACCAAGGGGAUGAUGGGUAGCGGGGGUGAGAGCAUGAACCGCCUCACUGGGACUGAGACACUGACCAGACACCUACGGGUGGCUGCAGUCGAGAAUCUUCGGCAAUGGGCGCAAGCCUGACCGAGCGAUGCCGCGUGCGGGAUGAAGGCCUUCGGGUUGUAAACCGCUGUCGAGGGGGAGCAACUUCCAUAGAGUUAUCUUUAUGGAUUGAGUGAUCCCUGGAGGAAGGACGGGCUAAGUUCGUGCCAGCCGCCGCAGUAAAAC